GUAGUCCACGCCGUAAACGAUGCGCACUAGGUAUGAGAGACUCUGACGUCGAUCGUGCCGAAACAAAAGCGUUAAGUGCGCCGCCUGGGGAGUACGGCCGCAAGGCUAAAACUCAAAGGAAUUGACGGGGGCUCACACAAGCGGUGGAGUAUGUGGAUUAAUUCGAAGCAACGCGCAGAACCUCACCUAGGUUUGACAUGCUAGGAUGCCCUUUGGGAAACCAGAGUAAGCUGCCUUCGGGUGAAACUAGCACAGGUGCUGCAUGGCUGUCGUCAGCUCGUGCUGUGAAGUGUCGGGUUAAGUCCCGCAACGAGCGCAACCCUUGUCAUUAGUUGCUACGAAAGGGCACUCUAAUGAGACUGCCGGUGACAAACCGGAGGAAGGUGGGGAUGACGUCAGGUCCUCAUGGCCCUUAUGGGUAGGGCUACACACGUCAUACAAUGGCCGGUACAGAGGGCUGCCAACCCGCGAGGGGGAGCUAAUCCCAGAAAACCGGUCGUAGUCCGGAUCGCAGUCUGCAACUCGACUCUGUGAAGUCGGAAUCGCUAGUAAUCGCGGAUCAGCGUGCCGCGGUGAAUA
rnacentral:rRNA from 1 species